CCCAAUUUUACCGCAGUAUUUGCAUAGGAUAGUCCACCAUGCUUGAUCUAAUUGAAAUAGUAUUGAUCUAGUAGAAACAUUGAUUCAAGUUUUGCUGUUCAUAAUUUGUAUACAAGUCUCCUCGUGUAACUUAUCUAUCCACAUGGUUCUGAUGUGGUCCCUUUAUUAAAAAAGUUGAAGUUUUCUCCCAAUUUUUCCCCACGACUAGCGCAGGUUAGUUCUCCACCGUGCUUGUUCUAACUGAAAUAGGAGAUCCAACAAAAACAUUGGUUCGAGUCGAGUUGUUAAUAAUUUGUAUGUUGGUCUACACAAGUGAAAACUGAGUAAUUACUUAUGCUAUUUUGUUCCAGAUGGUCAUUUCUCAACAUGUUUUGUUAAUUGAUUGUUGAUGUUUUCAUUAGCUUGGUGUGCAAAUUUGGGUUGAAAGUUUUUGGCAUGAGAAGCUUUGUAGUGAUUGCUUUUGGAAUCCAAGAAUGGAUAGUUGUGAGAGUUUUUAUUUGAUAAUUGUGGUUGAGUGGUACCAACAAUAAAAGUACGUUAUAAAGUACCUGCAUAUACGUUUCUGGUGUGCACCCCCAACCACAAUGCUACUAGGAAAUUUAUAUGAUCUGCGAAGCAAAACACUUUUUACUUGAUGUGAUAUUUGUAAGUAACUUAAAUUAUUUGACUGGCAUGUUCUUGAAUGCUAGUGGAGCAUUGUUUAUACCCAAGGACUUGUCUUUAAAUGUGUGUGCUUUUUGAAAAUUUGCAUGAGCUAAAUUGUUGAUGAAGUUGAUAUGACUCCUGUAAUGGUCUGCAUGCAUAUAUCGUUGAUUAUUCUUCUUAUUCUCCUAAGUAUUUACCUAAGCUGUAAUCUGUUGAGAUUUGGAUGUGUCCACAAACUAAUGGUUUGGACUGCAUAACUGUGGAUGGUUAGGAUAAAAAUCUUAUAUGUUAUUUUUUACAUGAUGAUUCUUAUACAUGUUUAUGAUGCCUUAACAAGUUACUAAUGAUCAGGUGAUUAAGUAAGGAAGAAAGUUGAUAUGACGGGGGGUUUUUAUGACUAUCGAUGCUCAAAGUUGAAGUUUAUGGACAUGAGUAAUUACUUGUGUUAUUUUGUUCUAGAAGGUUAUUUCUCUACGUGUUUUGUUAAUUGAUUGCUGAUGUUUUCAUUAGCUUGGUGUGCAAAUUUGGGUUGAAAGUUUUUGGUGUGAGAAGCUCUGUAGUUAUUGCUUUUGGAAUCCAAGGAUGGAUAGUUCUGAGAAAAAGUUUUAAUUUGAUAAUUUUGGUUGAUUGGUACCAACAAUAAAUGUAAGCUAUAAAGUACCUGCAUGUACGCUUCUGGUGUCCACCCCAACCACAAUGCUACUAGGAAAUUUAUAUGAUUUGCGAAGUAAAACACUUUUUCUUUGAUAUGAUAUUUGUAUGUAACUUAAAUUAUUUGACCGACAUGUUCUUGAGGUAAGAACAUGUUUAUGAUGCCUUAUACAUGAUGAUCCUUCUACAUGUUUAUGAUGCCUUAACAAGUUACUAAUGAUCAGGUGAUUAAGUAAGGAAGAAAGUCGUUAUGACGGGGGGGCUUUUAUGAUUAUCGAUGCUCAAAGUUGAAGUUUAUGAACAUAAUUAUGUAGAACAAAUCACAUUGAGGUAAGAAAUCUCAUGAUUGUGCAGUUUCCAUCACAGACUAAAAUGAGAAAACAGAGAGCUAGAGACUAAUUUCACAACUAAUCUGAAAUAACAAAAACAAAAUUUGGAAGGCCUAAUAUCCUUUGCUAAAUCUGAGAUGUUACAUGGUUCUUAAUUGUAGGGGAAGGAACUAAAUGAUGUUAACUCAUUGGCUGAAGUCAUAACACUAACUCUAAAGUGUGCUUUGAGUUGUUUUUAGAAACUUGAUUUUAAUAUUUCACUAUAAAAAUAUUUUUUUGACUAGCUGUUCUUCCAGGUGUUUCUGACAGGAUGGAUAGACUCAAUGCUGAAGUCACAACACAACUCUGAACUGUGAAUAUGCUUUAUUGUUUCUUUAUGUGAUAAAUGACUAGUCUAAGCUUCAGUUUUUUGUUCUUGUCUUUUAAUGUAUUAUUAAACUAUUAUGGCUUGUAAUCAAUGUUUUAAAUUAAUUUAUCCUGUCUGAUUUUCCAGCCGUUAUCCUUGCUGAAAUCCUAGAAGAUGAUGUUUUGGUCUUCCCCCACAUGUACUCGAUACUUACUGAGAUAGGUCAUGUUUACAUGGUUCCACUUAAGCAUUCAUCUUUUCAAAAAUGACAUGCUCUGUUUUAUUGGAACUUAUAGGUAUAAGAGGAGUUUGAAAGAGUUGCAUAAAAUGCUUCAUUGGUGCAAUGAGCAUUUCAACAGUUCAGCCAUGUAAACAAGGAGGCACUAGAUCAACAUGUAAAUCUCACUAGGAAACAGGAGGAACUUCAGACACGGCAAGCUGAACUUGAGGCAAGUGACAAGGUACUACGGUACUGGAUUUUAAUGGUUAAAUGUCUUCUGUUGUACUUAUUGUUUUUAAUGUGAGAUUAUGAUUUAUGUAUCUUUACUUCAACGAUAAACAUAAGCCAUAAAAAAAUAGACUGAGCUUGAGCCUGAUGUGAAAGACGUGCUAGAGAGAAUUUCAGAACAUAUCCAAGCCAAGGUAUCAAACUGUAGCAAAGAGAAAAAUGCUAAUUAUUUUUUGGGGAUAAAAAAUGUUGAAUGCUUUUAUUUAACAUGUGCUUUGCUUUCAGGAUGAUGCUAUGCUAAAAUGUAAGGUAUCUCCUCAACUAAAAUUUUCUACAUAUUACUACCUAAGCUAUAAUUUCAGCUGAAAGGGCCUCACUUUAGGUUUUUGUCCUCUACUGUCAAUAAACUAAUUUAUACAGCUAACAUGGUCGGUAAUAAUAAAACACAGUCUAGUAGAUGGAGAAUUUGCAAAUAAGUAAUUAAAACAUCAUUAUUUAAGAAUUAUUUGUGUAUUUUGUUACUUAAAUUAAUAUGUUAGGGGAUUUUAUACCUUCUUUGAUUUGACCUAGUGGAGGAUUUGGGGGACCUGAAUGGACACACAUAGUCGAGUGAAAUUUGAUUUUUUGCAAUUUAUACAGGUUUCCUUACUCUUGUGGAUAUGAACUCUUCUACUUUCGUCGUAGAUUCAAGGAAGCUUCUGUGGAUUUCUAGGUUUUCUUUCCUUCACUUGUUGUUGGGUGAUUUUUCGUUUUAGUCCAAGGAACCGGAACCAUCUUGUUAUGAGAAAUAAUUGAUUUUUAUUUUCCACAUUAACUGGACACUUCGAUGAUAAGUUUUUUACCUUUUCCAGAUGUUGUACUAGCUACAAAUGUUCGGGAUUUAUUCAAGGUCUAUAGCAGUAACUAGUAGAUGCCCACCAUUAUACUAAAAACAAGACCCCUUUGAAAAUUUCUAGUUUUAUGAUGAGCUGUCUUCAAGGUUUAUGUGUAAAUGUAUGGAUUAAUUGAAAUUAGAUAAGUAUGUUUUGCUACUUGGUAUGAGUAUGCAAUUGAACUUCUUAACUCUAUUGUUGCAAGUCCUCGUGCCUCUCUUGCCAUUUCCUUUAUAUUCUGAUUUUUUGAUUUUAAAUAAGUCAUCUACUUCAGGAAGAAAAUUAUAGGCUGAAUGCAGACUUCAAAGAGCGAAAUGCCUACGUUGAGAGCUGCAGAGCUGAAAUCGUUAUUUUCUAGUCUCAUGAAGGAUUCAAUAGUCAUAAAGCAUAGAGAAACAAGCUACAAGAAGCAUGUAUCCUUUUCUCUUUCUAUUUUGGUCAGGCUUAUUGAAAGGGCAUAGUUUGACUAGACUUUUCUGCUUUUGUAGAUCAUGGUGAAAAAGAAAAGUGAACUUAUUGUUGAAUUUGAUAAGCUAAGACCACAAGUGUUCUUAUUCCUCUGUCGUUGGGUCCUAUUUAUAGGAAAAAUCUCUUGUAGAUGUCACUAAUCAAAUAGUGAGCUUAAAGCCACUGUGACCACGAAACAAGGUGAGGUGGGCACAGAGCUCAUUGAUCACUUAACACCACAGGAAAAACAUGAACUAUCCCAGCUGAACUAAGAAAUAAAAGAUCUUAAAGAGGAGCUUAUUAAAUUUAGAACAGAUCGCAUCGAGGUAAGAUAUCUCAACCUUGUGAGAAGCAACUGUACUUAUCCUUAACAGGUAUUUGUUCUGUUUCACAUGAAGCUUUUGUGGCCUUCCAAGCUACUUCCAUAUUUAUGAUCUGCUUUCUGAUAGGCCUCUUGCUUGCUGUCAUGCAUGCCUAUAUGCUAAUGGGUGUAUGGUAAUACAUUGCCCUAAAAGUUUCUGUAUAUUUGUCGCUAAUUGAGGUGGGUGACUUUUUGGAAGAAAAUAGUUUAUUAUCGUUUAUUAUUGCCACCUGUUGCACUAGAGGUGAUAGAUUGAUGUUGCACUGAUGUGUCUUGGCCUCAAACCCUAGAAAAAUAAUAUUACUUGUCACUGAAAAAUGAGUAAAUAAAAAGAAACGAAUUAUUCCUCAUGCUUUUACAAUGUCUAUCUGCUAUUUGUGAUUUAUUAAGAUACAUUUUGAGUAUUAACAUUAGUUUUUGUUACUAUGAAGGCAAAGGUGAUGGUACAAAUGCAGAAUCUGGAGCACAUGAAGAAGAUUUUCUCAUCCAGGAUGAGAUUUCUAAAUCUUGUCUAGUGAACGUGUAGCGUGAGGAAGAGACAAUUUUGCAUGAGAGAGACGGCUAUAAACUGGAAGAGGGACGUCUUAUACGUGAAUUGAAAA